CCUACGGGUGGCAGCAGUGAGGAAUAUUGGUCAAUGGGCUUACGCCUGAACCAGCCAAGUCGCGUGAGGGAAGACUGCCCUGUGGGUUGUAAACCUCUUUUGUCAGGGAGCAACGCCUGCUACGUGUAGCCGGACGGAGAGUACCUGAAGAAAAAGCAUCGGCUAACUCCGUGCCAGCAGCCGCGUUAAUACGUAGGAUGCGAGCGUUAUCCGGAUUUAUUGGGUUUAAAGGGUGCGUAGGCGGAAUGCCAAGUCAGCGGUAAAAGCCCGGGGCUCAACCUCGCUCCGCCGUUGAAACUGGCGUUCUUGAGUGGGAGAGAAGUAUGCGGAAUGCGUGGUGUAGCGGUGAAAUGCAUAGAUAUCACGCAGAACUCCGAUUGCGAAGGCAGCAUACCGGCGCCAAACUGACGCUGAAGCACGAAAGCGUGGGUAUCGAACAGGAUUAGAUACCCUUGUAGUC
rnacentral:rRNA from 1 species